AGCAGUCGCCACGGUAAUGCGAAGGGUGCAAGCGUUACUCGGAAUUACUGGGCGUAAAGCGUGUGUAGGUGGUUGUUUAAGUCUGUCGUGAAAGCCCUGGGCUCAACCUGGGAAUUGCGAUGGAUACUGGGCGACUAGAGUGCGGUAGAGGAUAGUGGAAUUUCCGGUGUAGCAGUGAAAUGCGUAGAGAUCGGAAGGAACAUCUGUGGCGAAGGCGACUAUCUGGGCCAACACUGACACUGAGACACGAAAGCGUGGGGAGCAAACAGGAUUAGAUACCCCAGUAGUCCCUGUCUCUUAUAC
rnacentral:rRNA from 1 species